GUCAGCUCAGCCACCACAGCUGAUCGACAGAAUGCUUGCAACUGCUUGAAAACAGUUGCUGCCCAAAUCAAAACUAUUAAACAAGCCAACGCGGCUAAACUCCCUUCCUUAUGUGGCGCCAACAUUCCCUACAAGAUCAGCACCUCUACUAACUGCGCCAGGUAAAUUUUUCCAUCAAAUGAUGUGCUAAUUACUUUUCGCUAUUUAAAACAAGCGCACAAAUUUGAUAAUCCUAGCAUAUUUUAUUUUGUAAUACACUAAGCCUUUAAAUAUAAAUCUGUUUUUUAUCCCCUUGUUUUGGUUACUAAAAGUAAUUUUUUCGUUAUUUGCAGUGUGAAGUGAAGAUCAGGUCGAUCUGGAUGAGCAUCUAGCUAGAUAAUAGAAUAUGAUAGUAGUAGGUAGCUAGUCUACCUUAAGAAUAAGGGAUGAGUAUUGAGUUGUUUUGAGCUCUUUCACCUUUAUUGCAUGUCACCGAUAUCAGUUAGUUGUCGUUGUAUGUGAUAAUGACUCUGACCAUCUUUAACAAGGCAUCUAUAUAUUCUACUUAAAUAUUUGAUUUAAUCUCAUUAGUCUUCUUUUAAUUAAUUUCCCCCCACCCCUCCCCCAGGCCCCCUCCAGGGAUAAACUUUAAUCUCGUUUCAAGACUCAGUUCCCAUACUAAUGAUGUAUGUAGGGGUGGAAAAAAAAUACCAAAUAUCCCAAAUCAAACCGAAAAAUUCUCGAAACCAAACCGAAAAAAAUACCAAACCAAAAAUCACAAAAUGUUCGGUACCCAAUACCAAACCAACUGAAAAUUUCGGUACGGGAAUCGGUUUCAAGUUUUAGUUUUUUUGAUAUUCCCAAACCGAACCGAAAUAAAAAAAAAAUAUUUAAUUUUUAAAUAUAUAUUUAGAAUUAUAACAGCCGUCGGAUUCGGUUGAGAUUUAAUCUCAACUAUUGAAUCUAUCAAACCCUAGUACAUUACACUAUGUCUUCGUCUCUCUCGACACUCACCUCACACUGCACCCACUCUCUGUCACUUUCACCGCUUGCCUCACUCGUCAGACUCAAACCCUCACCUCACCACCCUCGUCGUCGAAUCACGGCCAUUGGCACCGCUCUCCUUCUCAAUCUCUCAGUCUUUCAGUCUCUCUCGAUUCAAGUCAUCCAGUGCAUUGUGCAAAUCUCCUCCAAAUCAGGUAAAUGUUUGAAUUAAUUUAAGGUUGUCUCUUCGUUUUUGAAUCCGACCACACAAGUGACUCACCUAGGGGUGGGCACUUGAACCCGAAACUGAAAUCGAAACACGAACCAAAUCGAACCGCACCGAAUGGUUUGGUUUUGAGGUUUCAAAAUGGUUUCGAUUUGAAACCAAACUGAAUGUGGAAAAACAAUUUGAUUUCGGUUUCGGCCAUUUGAAACCGAACUGAAACCGAAGCCGCAUAAAUUUAUUAAAUAUUAAAUUCUAAUUGGUCAUUUCAUUGAGUCCAUACAUUUAGUAUGGACUCAACCAUAUUCAUGCCUCAAUCCAGUUCAAUUGAAUGUCACUUAGUCAUUAGAUGUUUACCUUGUUUUUAUUUGUCCUAUAUUUUGUAUAGAGACACCCGGUGCUCUGGUGGAUUUGUUGUGUGUGUAUAGAUGUCAAUUGCUAAACGUACGACCUCAAACUCUCUGUACGCUAUGAAAUUAGAAGAGGAAAAUGAUUCCCUUGACACUAUCAUCAGACAAGCUGCAGAAGAGCCAUCUAUUUCUUUCUCAAGGGCCGGGAUAGCCCAGUCUCCUGGAUUCAACUACUUCAUGCCUUAGACCAACAAGGUACUAGAAGACAUGCAAAAUGAAAAACAAAUAGUAAAUGUUGCUCAUAGAAGAAAAUUGAAGUGUAUAUAAAAGGAAAAUGAAAUGAGAUACAACUAGGUAACCAUAAUAGCUUUUUCAAACAAUGAAACCGCACCAAAACCGUUUAAAACCAAACUGAACCAAACCAAAUGGUUUGGUUUCAUUUCGGUUUUAGCCUCAAAACCACACCGAACCAAACCGCAAAAACUUACUGUUUUGGUUUUGGUUUCACUUAAAACUGCACCAAACCAAACCGCACCUACCCCUAGACUCACUUGAGUCACAUCUCUCUAGACAAUCACCACCUCUCUGAUCGCUCUUUCAGUCUCUCUCAACUUCUCAUCCCUCACAGAGCCACAUUGGAUGAGCCUUCCUUCACGAAUCAUGGCCAGUGCCGCUAUCAUUCUCAGUCUCUCUUAAUUCAAGUCUCCAGUGCAAAUCUCCCCCAAAUCAGGUAAAUGUUUGAAUUAAUUUAGGGUUGGAAUUCAAGAUUAGGGUUUGUGAAAUUUAGCACUUGGAAGAUUGAGUAUACUGAAUACUGAGGGUUUAGGGGUUGAAUUGGUGGUUGGAAUUCGAGAUUAGGGUUUCGAGAUGUUUGUAAUGCAGCACCAUAAAUGUAUUUGCAGUUUGUUUAGUGGAUCUUUUAUAUAUGAAGAUGUUGAACUGAUGAACUUUCAAAUACCCACAUAAUUUCUUAAUGUUUCUUUUAUAUAUGAAGAUGAUGAACUGAUGAAGAUAUUGAACUGAUGAACUGUUAAUACUUAGGCAAUCCCGUAUUGUCCCAAAAGCCUAAUAAUAUUUCGGAAAUCCUGAAUUGUCCUGAAAUCUGGAAAAUAUUUCAGGAUUCCCAAAAAUUUGGUUUGGGAUCGGUCUUGAAAUUGGGAUUCCCGAAAAUUUCAGUUUGGGAAUCGGGACAAGGGUUUCAGUUCGGUAUCCCAUACCAAACCAGCCCUAUAUGUACAUGACAAAUUAUUUCCCGACGCAAAAGAAGAAAAAAAACGAAGAGUAAAAUUGAAGAAAUUUAGGAUUCCACCAUAUAACCAAUUAGCAAUAUGGGGAGUAGUCCAACUUCUUAUAAGCCUAUGCAAGGUCCAUCCUCCCAUCAAUGUGAGACUCAUUCUCAACACACCCUUUCACGUGUGGCGAAUUUUCAAGCCUAAUAAGUGGACAAUACAACGGGAUGACGUGGAGCACAUGUGGUCGUUUGACUUCACACAUGGGACAACCUGUUUUUGAUACCAUGAAGAAAUUUGGGGUUUCAGCAUAAAACCAAUUGGCAAUAUGGGGAGUAGCCCAAUCUCUUAUAAGCCCAUGCAAUGUCUCUCAUUCCAUCAAUGUGGGACUCAUUCUCAACAUGCCCCUUCACGUGUGGCGAAUUUUUGAACCUAACAUGUGGACAACACAACGGGAUGACGUGGAGCACAUAUGGUUGUUUCGCUUCAUACGUGGGACAACUUGCUCUGAUACCAUGAAGAAAAUUGGGGUUCCACCCAGUGGCGAAGCCAAGAUUUUCCAAAUGGAGGGGUGAAAUUCAAAAGAGUACAAGAUUCAAUCGAAGCGGUUACUUUAACAUUGGAGAGUGCAAAGUUUUGAGUCAAUAUUCAUAACAGAAAACAGUCUCUUCACCAAAGCGGUUGUAAGCGGUAAUAUCAAAGCCAUGUACGAAUAUUAAAUAAGUUUGUUGAUGCACAAAACCGGAGGUCUUAGAACAACGUAAAUCCGACCGUGAAUCUGCAAGAAAUGUAAAUAACACAAGAUGUAUUGUGGUUCACCCCAAGGUUUGGGCUACGUCCACACUGAUUAUGUAUUUAUCUGAGAUGUGAGGAAAGUGAGGGAGAGAGAUUCAGAGCCUCUGAGGGAGAGAGUAAGGUCUUUGAUGGCCUAGGAAUUGGCCUUCUCUAGUUGUGAGGGUGAUGGGUCAUUUUAUAGAAUAAGGAAUCCUCACUUAUUACAUAUUUGCCCAUUCCUUUAUCACAUAAUUACAUUUAAGUCCCCCGAGUAUUUGUACGAGAUCUAAAUACGAGGUCCUAAAUAUGGUAUAAACAGUAGUCCCCUAAGUUUUUAGUCAAGACAGUCUUUUGGCUGGAGACUUGAAAUCCAUGUGUGGGCCGAAGUAACUAGGUGUUGUCUUGAACUGAUGUUCGAUAUGAGGCGGUGCUCAAUCUGAAAUGAUGCUCAACUAGAAGUAACACAUGCUGCGAGGCUGCUCGGCUCGUGGGUUAUGUUGCCUUGGUUGGCUCGGCUUAUGGCGUUGAAGGUGAGGGAGUCAUUUUUAUAGAAUAAGGGCUUGCUCCUCAAUACAUGAAUGAUGGGCUAGAGUUGAUGCUCUCUAAUGAUGGUGAGGGAGUCCAUUUUAUAAAAUAAAGGAUCGCUCCUCAGUACAUGAAUAAUGGGUUAUGAGUGAUGCUUGUGGCGAGACGGUUGCUCAGCUGGCGGUGAUGCUCUCUAACGAAGGUGAGGGAGUCCCUUUUAUAGAAUAAGGGCUCGCUCCUCAAUACAUAAAUGAUGGGCUAGAGUUGAUGCUCUCUAAUGAUGGUGAGGGAGUCCUUUUUAUAAAAUAAGGGCUCGCUCCUCAGUACAUGAAUAAUGGGUUAGGAGUGAUGCUCGUGGCGAUGCGGUUGCUCAGCUAGCGGCGAUGCUCUCUAACGAAGGUGAGGGAGUCCCUUUUAUAGAAUAAAGGCUCGCUCCUCAAUACAUAAAUGAUGGGUUAGAGUUGAUGCUCUCUAAUGAUGGUGAGGGAGUCCCUUUUAUAGAAUAAGGGCUCGCUCCUUAAUAUAUGAAUGAUGGGCUAGAGUCCCCCAAGUAUUUUUCAUGAGGCCCAGUUGAGGCCCAAUAUAUGGUACAUAAUGUAGUCCCUAAAGUCUUCGGUCAAUGGAGUUUGUUGGCUGGAGACUUCAAAUUGAAUCCAUGUAUGGGCCGAAGUGGCGGUUGUUCGGAGGCAGUAUUUGUAUACCCUGCACUGAAGCUUUGUAAGUGAAGCUUUGAAGCUGGAGCUCUGUAAAUGAAGCUUUUGAAGCUAGAGCUUUUGUAAAUGAAGCUUUUGAAGUUGUAGCUCUGUAAAUGAAGCUUUCGAAGCUAGAGCUUUUGUAAAUGAAGCUUUUGAAGCUGAUUGACAUGAGUGAUGCUCAUGAAUGUUUGAUUGACAUGAGUGAUGCUUAUGAAUGUUUGAUUGACAUGAGUGAUGCUCAUGGAUGUUGACAUGAGUGAUGCUCAUGAAUGUUUAUGUAUGAUUGAUAUGAGUGAUGCUCAUGAAUGUUUAUGUAUGAUUGACAUGAGUAAUGCUCAUGUAUAAUAUGAAGUACUGGGCGUACUUUUGAUCACCUGGUUGGUGGUAAUAGUGGCAGGUUGCCAAAUAAUUUUUGGAGUACUGGGCGUACUUUUGAUCACCUGAUUGGUGGUAAUAGCGGCAGGUUGCCGAAUAAUUGUGGAGUACUGGGCGUACUUUUGAUCACCUGGUUGGUGGUAAUAGCGGCAGGUUGCCGAAUAAUUAUGGAGUACUGGGCGUUUUGAUCACCUGGUUGGUGGUAAUAGUGGCAGGUUGUCGAAUAAUUGUGGAGUACUGGGCGUACUUUUGAUCGCUUAGUUGGAGCUAUUUGGGCUCAUGGGCCUUCGCCCUUCAUAUAACAUUCCAGCCCAUUUAUUUUGGGCUUUGCCGUUUUUUAAUUUUUUUAAUUUUUUAUUAUUAUUACCCACUGAUGGGGUUUAUACAGAUGUCUCCGAAAGAUACGAAAAUUAAAUUACAUCAUUCAAAAAUAAAGGAAGUAAACCACAUCAUUCUCGUGGGGUGUUUAUUCCUUGCUUUUGCUUUUAUGCUUUUCUUUUGCUUUUCCCACUACAUUUCUUUCUCUUUUUCUCUUUUCCUUUUGCUUUCCACUGCAUCUCUGUCUCUGUCUCUUGGCGAAACUGGAGGGCUAACUCCCCUUGCUUUUCUUGGACAGCCUGGUCGUGCCCAUCACUCUUCUUUUUUCUUUUUCUUUUUUUUUCUUUUCGUUUUUUGCUUUUCUGUUGUCCCCCAUGUGCUUCUGUUGGGCAUUUUUCAUCGCAGUCUGAUCUCACCACCGACAGACUUGAGGUUCCUCGAAGGCCUCAAGUUGAAGGAACAAGUUCUGAAACACGAAAUUACCGAUUUGUAUAACAACAAUCACUCUGCAGCAGCAGCAACAGCGCCUAUAGCUUCCACAACUCAGCUCUGAACUUGUUGUCUUAGUCAAGAAACCCACCCUGCUCCAAGUUCAAAAUUGACGGCAUACCCAGUUGAGAUUAUGAUCUUGAAAGCUAUAAGCAAGCAUGAGGGUUGAAAUUGAUAAGACAGACUCAGUGGGAUUGAUUGAUGAAUCUCUCUCUCUCUCCCUCUCUCUUCUGCCACAUCUUGAACAAGAAGACAUCUUUUCAUCAUUUAACACAUUUCUCUCCCAUGCUUCAAUUUCAACUUCAACUCCAAACUCAAGCUGCUCAAUGAGGAUAGUCAUUCUGAAUCGAAAUCGAAGCAGGAAAUCCAAAGAAAACAGAUGAAAGUAUUGAACCCAAAAAUUUGAUAAGAGAUUUGGGCAAAGAAAUUGAAGUUUUGUGGCUUGGGCAGCUGGGAAAGUUGCGGCUUGGGAUCCGAGUUCAUGCCGAUGAUGAUGACCAGAGGAAUGAAGCCGUAGUGGGUGACGACCUUGGCCUUCUUCAUGGUCCACGUGCUCCACUCCUUCACGGACUGAGCCACCGAGCGCUCAUCCGAGCCUUUGGAGCCCUUCGCCGGAGUCUUACCCUUGGUUUUCAGAGAUAUCUUCGACGCCAUUGAAAUUUUCUUCUGGAGUUAUUGCUGUUAUUGUUACCAUUGUCUUUAUAGUUAUGACUGUUAGGAACAAUUGCUCUUAACAAUAGCCUUCUGUGCACCUAAGGAAAAAACUGCAUCUCUAACCUUAGCAUAAAAUUCGAGCUUCUUUUCGAACUUACGGUCGGCUUUGGUCGACGAUUCUGAUCGUGAACCUGGCUUCCCCAAUCAUUGAAACUUUCGAGCUUUGGCAGAGAGAGAAAACGAAGAAGAAGAAGAGAGAGGGAGGCCAGACACGUGGUCUGUGCAGUUACAGAGAGAGAUUGAGUCAUAGAGGAGGUGGCUCCGUGGGUUUUCUGGGAAAUUUUUGGGUUCUUGGGUUUUUGCAGUUUCAAGGUGGAGAUGAAAAAAUGAAAGAGAACUGACACAACUUUUCGUAUUGAUUCCCACAGACGGCGCCAAAUGUUGAUGCACAAAACCGGAGGUAUUGGAACAACGUAAAUCCAACCGUGAAUCUGCAAGAAAUGUAAAUAACACAAGAUGUAUCGUGGUUCACCCCAAGGUUUGGGCUACGUCCACACUGAUUAUGUAUUUAUCUGAGAUGUGAGGGGAGUGAGGGAAAGAGAUUCAUAGCCUCUGAGGGAGAGAGUGAAGUCUCUGAUGGCCUAGGAAUUGGACUUCUCUAAUUGUGAGGGUGAGGGGUCCUUUUAUAGAAUAAGGACUCCUCACUUAUUACAUAUUUGCCCCUUUCUUUAUCACAUAAUUACAUUUAAGUCCCCUGAGUAUUUGUACGAGAUCUAAAUACGAGGCCCUAAAUAUGGUAUAAACAAGGUUAGAAUUAGAUUCUUAAAAACGUUAGGCGCUAGUCAGGCAGAGGACUAGGGCCUAGCAGCUAGGCGCCUAGGCGAGAUUUAGGUAGGAGCCUAGAUGGAUUUAAAUGAAUUUCUUUUAUCGUAAAAUAAGCAUUAAACAAUAUUUACUUUAUUUUUUAAAAAUUAAUACAAUAUUGAUAUAUAAUGUGAGAGUUUAAGAUAAAUAUGCGGGGGGUUUUAAAAAGAGGCAAAAAAAAUACAUACAAGAAUAAUAAACUAAAAAAAAAAAAGAAGAGAGAAAUGGGUUAACAAACCACAAAAAAAGGUGGGGUUAGAAGAGAAAGAAAAGAGGGAUAAUACUUAAAUCCUGACCUGUCAGGAUCUAGUAUAUUGAACUUAUUAUGUGGCACAAUACACCUACCCUUGUAAAUUCCCAAACACAUAACCUUGCAUUAUCUAUUUUAAUAUCCAAACAUACCCUAUUAUACUAACCAAACAUCAUUCUUCUCUCUAAUUGGAGAUUCCCCAAGCUUCUAGAUUCAAACCAGCAAUCAUCUCCGUUAACCAACCCUGUUUCCUCCUCCGUCAAACCCCCGCAUGUUCUCCACCAUUGAUCGAACCCCGUGUCUUCCUCUAACUUCUCUCUUCCGUCGACUCCACCACCGUCUCCUUCUCCAACCCCUUUCCUCCGUCAACACCGUUAUCCCACCCAUAUACUAGUCUUCCAUCCCAUUAUCCCAAGUCACCAUCAUCUGCCACCCCCUGCGAGAUUGCCCUGAUGAAAUCAAGAAGGACUUCAAAUUGGGGUUUCUCAGUUCGGAAUGUGAUGUCGGCUUAUCGAGUGAGCUUGAAGCUUGCACAUGAUGCUAAAGCCGAUGAGGCAACAGGGUGGGGUUAAUGAUGGUUGAAGUAGGAUAGGACUUCUCAUUUUCGACGAGAGUGGAGAGGCUGAACUAGUGCUCCUAGGCAUGUUUUUCAGCGAAGGGAGGGGCGGCUGCCACUCCUCACCCUCAUGUAGCUGUUAAUCAUAUUGCAGAGCUUCAAUUGAGAUAUAUGCAGAGAAGAAUUGAGAGAUACAGAGAAGAGUUGAGAGAGAAGAGAGAGAGAGAAAGCUUGGAAAAUAAGCUACUGAAUCUUGUAUUAAAUUUUCUGUAAUUACAACAGUACACGAUCUUACAUUAUAUAUUGUAAGAUCUUAGCCUAAUAGCCUUAUAUACUUUAUUACAAUCUUAUCUUAUACACUUCAUUAUAAUGACAAAUGGCAUAAUCCUCUUCAUUCAUUAUUUAUACUCUAACAUCCCCCCUUCAAUCCCAUGUUUGGAUGAGCCAAGCAUGAGAUUGCAGCAAUGAGUGUUAAACAAAGGAGAACUCAAGCCUUUUGUUAGGAUAUCAGCAAAUUGCUCAGAAGAGGAGACAAACUGAACAAGCAAUUUCUUAGCAGCAACUCUUUCUCGAACAAAAUGAACAUCCACUUUAAUGUGUUUAGUUCGUUGGUGCUGAAUUGGAUUGAAAGAUAAGGCAAUUGCUGAUAGAUUAUCACAAAAGAGUACUGGAAUAUGUUGAGGCGGAAUAUGUAGGAAAGUGAGCAACUGUUGGAUCCAAUCCAAUUCUAUAGCAGUAGAUGAAAGGGCUCUAUAUUCAGCCUCCGUUGAAGAACGUGACACAGUUUGUUGUUUCUUAGAGGACCAAGAAAUUGGAUUAUUUCCUAGGAAUACAACCAAACCAGUAGUGGACCUUCGAUCAUUUGGACCACUUGCCUAGUCAGCAUCACUGAAAGACUUUAAAACCAAUUCUCCUCUGUUGUAAGUAAUUCCAUGAGAAAUCGAGCCUUUGAGAUAUCGUAAAACCUUCUUCACUGCUAUAAAAUGAGAGACCAUUGGAGUUUGCAUAAAUUGGCAAACUUGAUGAACAGAAAAGGCAAUGUAAAGUCUUGUAAACACAAGGUACUACAAAGCUCCAACAAUGCUCCUGUAUAAGCCAAGAUUAUUGUAAGGUUGCCCGUCAUCCUUAAAAAGUUGAUUGUAAGGAAGACAAGGUGUUGAAGCAUGUUUAGAGUCUAACAUUUCUGCAUUCUUUAAAAGGUCUUGUAUAUAUUUUUCUUGAGAUAAGAACAUUCCAUCAUUUGUUCUUGCAAUUUGAAUUCCCAAGAAAAAAUGUAAUGGACCAAGAUCCUUAAUGUCAAAUUCUAUUCUCAAGUCUUAAAUUACUUGUUAAAUUGCAUCUGUAUCACUCUCAGUGAUGAUAAUAUCAUCAACAUACAGUAACAACACAACAACAUGUACUUCCAACAUGCUUCACAAAUAGAGAACUAUUAGAAUAUGUGUUGCUGCAUAAACCUGUCAUUCCAAGCUCUGGGAGCUUGUUUUAAACCAUAAAGUGAUUUUUGUAACUUGCAUACCAAUGAAGGAAAUCAAUCAUUUGCAAAACUUGGUGGUUAGGACAUGUACACCUCUUCAUGUAGUAUGCAAUGUAAGAAUGCAUUCUUGACAUCCAGCUGCCUCAAUGGCCAAUUAAACUGUGCUGCAAGUGCCAGAAUUAACCUCACCGUUGUUAGUUUUACUAUAGGGCUGAAUUUCUCUUCAUAAUCAAGUCCUUGCUCCUGACUAAACCCCUUUGCUACUAACCUAGCCUUGUGCCUUGCAAUUGUCCCAUCAGCAUUCCAUUUAAUCUUGAAAAUCCACUUACAACCCACUAAAUUCUUCUAAUAUGGUAAAGGAACUAGAGUCUAAGUUUUCUGAGAAUAAAGAGCCUCAAGUUCUUCCUUCAUAGCUUCAAACCAUAUUGGAAUCUUCAUAGCAGACUUAUAAGAUGAAGGCUCAAUCUGCGUUAAAAUUAGCCACUUGAUCAUUAUGAACUGAAGCACACAAAAAUUUCUUCUUAAAGAUACCAUUCUUGGAUUUGGUUUGCAUAGGAUGAAUGCUCAUAGGUGGUAAACUGAGAACCACUUGUAAACUUUCAGGACAAAAAUCAGAUUACACAGUCAUAAAAGAAUUUGGUGCAAUAAUGGACUGUGAGGUACUGGAUAUGGGUGAAUCAUGUAAGGUUUGUGGUGGUGAUGUUGAGGAUGAAACAUGUGUGGGAGAAUUUAUAGUAUUAGGAGAUACCAAAAUGUUCUGAAGGUUAGGAAUCAAAGAAAGGCUAAGUGUAGGAAUACUGGACUUAGGCUGAGACUUAGUGCAAAACGAGGCAUAUGGAAAGUCUAAUUCAUCAAAUAUCAUAUGUCUGGAUAUAAAGACAUUGUUAUUAUUUAACUCGUAACAUAUGUAUCCCUUAUAGUUAGAUGCAUACCCCAAAAAUACACACUUCAAAAUCUUAGGUUGUAGUUUGGUGGUAUUAUAAGGCUUUAACAAUGGGAAACGAGCAGAUCCAAACACUCUAAGGUGCUGAAUAUCAGGAAUUUUGCAAUACAAACUUUCAAAAGGUGAUUUGUUUUGAAUGAUAGAAGAUGGCAUCCUAUUUAUUAGGUAAAUGGUAGUUUGACAUACAUAGGUCCAAAACUUAGAAGGUAAGUUGGCAUUUUGAAGCAAUGUAAUGGCAGUUUCCACAAGAUGUUUAUGUUUUCUCUCAGCUAAACUAUUCUGUUCAGGUGUAUAUGGGCAUGAUUUUUGAUGUAAAAUGUCAUUUGCAGUAAAAAAAAUUUGCAAGGGUUUGCCUAUGUAUUCUCCCCCUCCAUCACUUUGCAAGAUUUUAAUUCUAGUUGAGAACUGAGUAAGAACAAAUUGGUAAAAUGAUGCAAAGACAGAAGAAAUACCUAAUUUAUUAAGCAAUCGAAACAUCCAGCAAAAUCUGGUACAUUCCUCUACAAAGAUGACAUAGUAUCUAAAGCCAUCAACGGAAAUACAUGGUGUAGGUCCCCACAAAUCACUGUGAAUAAUCUCAAAAAGGGUUACUGACUUAUUAACAGCUGGACUAAAGGAAAGUUUGGCAAAUUUGCCUUCUAGACAACUCUGACAUACUACAGGGGAUACAUCUUUAACAACAGGUAUUUUAGACUUAUUCAAUAUAAGAGAUACAAUUGAGUUUGAAGGAUGACCUAACCGGCUAUGCCAUAGGGUAGAGGUAGUAGUUUUCCUAAGACAAGAAAUAGCCGAAGAUGUUGUUGGUAUUGAUGAAGAAGGAAUAGCAGCAAUUGAAGGGAUAUGGUAAAGUCCAUUAUUGCAGUGGCCUUUAAACAAGAUUUCCAUGUAACUUUGUCCUGAAUCCAAAAAUAAUAUGCAUCAAAGAUUAGCCAGCAGUUGUUGUCCAAACAAAUUUUAUGUAUUGAUAACAAAUUAUGAGAUAAUUUGGGAACAUAUAGAAUAGAAUGUAAAUUGAUGGACUAAUGAGGAGUUCUAAGAACAGUGUUCCUAAUAUGAGUGAUUGGCAAACCUUCACCAUUAGCUGUUUAGACAGUAUCAUGCUGUGGAUAAGGAGUAGCCAAAGAAAAAUUAUUAAGAUCAUGUGUCAUAUGGUUUGUUGCUUCGAAAUCAGUCAACCAAACUUGUUAAUGAACUUGAUUAAAUGUGGAAGCAGUCAUAGAUGCCAAUCCAUAUUAUUUGUACCAUAUUUAGGGCAUCCGUAUUUAGACAUCGUAUAAAUACUUGGGGGACUCAAAUGUAAUUAUGUAAUAAAUCAAGGGGCAAAUAUGUAAUAAGUGAGGAGCCCUUAUUUUAUAAAAGGACUCCUCACUCUCCUCAUUAAGGGAGAUGAAGGUUUAGGCCAUGGGAAGAGAGAAAAUAGGCUAGAGAGCACACUGCCUCUAGCCUUCUUGUAUAUUCACCAUUCAGAGUGAAACAAUAUGAACAUCAGUGUGGACGUAGCCCAAACAUUGGGGUGAACCAUGAUACAUCUUGUGUUCUUUACUUUCUUACAGAUUCACGGUCGAAUUUACGUUGUUCCAAGACCCAUCCGGUUUUGUGCAUCAACAUUUGGCGCCAUCUGUGGGAAAUCGACACGAAAAACUAUGUCGAUUCUCUUUCAUUUUUUUCUUCUCACCAUCGUGAAUCUGCACAACCCAAGAACCCAAAACCUCAUUCUUUGGGGUUUUCCAGAAAACCUUCGCAUACCUCCAACCAACUCUCUCACUCUCUCCCGCCCGUUAUUGACAGCACUGUGAAGAACGAGGUGAACCCUGGGUCGAGGGAGGAAGACGACGAGCUCAAAGACGGAGUGAUCGUCGGUGACCACGAUUCCGUGUUGGUGAAGCCGCCAAAAGGAAUAGCGCUGCAGUCGCAUUCCUGGACCUUCUGGUUCGAUUACCCGGCCGCCAAGUUCAAGAAGGAGAAUUUUGUGAAAUUUUUAAUAACCCUCCAACUUCCAACCGUUAACCUCCCCAAUCUCGAAACGGUGUCAUCUACAGAUCUUAGAGGAAAACCUCAGUCGCUUUGUUAAUCUGGAUCUAAUCCUGUGUUAGUUUCCUAAUCAAGCUUUCGAAAAAGGGAUUGAGAUUCCUGAAACGACUCAGAUUCUAAGCACAUAUUAUAUAUAUAUAUAUAUAUAUUUUUUUUUCUAUAUAAUUAUUAUUAUAUAUUUGCAAAUUAUCUGCAUCCAAUCCGAUUCCAUUUCUGAAUAAUGUUGGCGAGCACUGGCAGUUCCGUCGUUCAGCUUCGAACCAAAUCGUCACUUUUGCCGUCGCAGCUCAUUGCGACGUCGGUAGCUCAGCUUGGCGGGAGCAGGGCGGCGAUGACAGUAGGAUAAAAGUCAAGGGGGCGAAGCAGCCGUCAUCUCUGAUUUCUUCCUUCCAUUUUUUUUAUUGCUUUUGCUUCAGCUCCUCAUUCUGCUUCAACAGCAGGAUAAAAGUCAAGGUGAUCUCCUUGCCAGCGGUCGGAAUGAUAAAAAGGCGGAGGAGGACGACGAUGGUGUGUCGUCAUUGUCAUCGUCCGAAGUGGACGAGCUGGGUUUUCUUCGACGACUGCCUAUUUCGAUUCGCCUGAUGUUGAGCUCUAUGGAGAUCUCUUAUCCCUUUACAGUAAAAAUGAGGCAACAACAGAUUCAACACUGCCAAGAUACUCAGUCACCCUGACGUUGUGGUGUCUGACACGGUUGUGGAGCCAUACAAUGCCACCAUUUCCGUCCAUCAGCUUGUCGAAAAAGCAGAAAGUAAAAGCUCAAAUUCCCUUCAAUUGUGCAGAUGGGCUCUGAAAGUUACAGGAAAUGGAGUGCGAAACAAAAGCAAAAGAAGAUAAAAAGAAGUAGACAUAAUUGCGGUGGUGAUGGCAUUAUGAGCGUGACCCAUUGAGUAGGCCCUGCCCCCCGCAACUACCAGCUGCACAUGCUAUCUCACUAUCCAACCAUCUGCCAUACCCACCUUCUACAACAACUUUUUUGAAUGAUGUGAUUUAUUUUUCUUAUCUUUUGCAAACAUCUGUAUAAACCCACCAGAGGGUAAUCAUAAAUAAAGAAAAAGGCAGCAUGCCAAAAAAAAAAAAGGCAAGCCCAAAAUAGUGGGCUGGAAUGUUAUGUGGAGGGCGAAGGCCCAUAUGCCCAAAAGAGCCAGACCCAAUGACUUUAAACUCCAACCUCCAUCCAUCCACUUAAGGUUCACCCUAUAUUAUCACCAACCAGGUGAUCAAAAGUAUGUCCAGUACUCUAAAAUUAAUCGGCAACCUGCCGCUAUUAUCACCAACCAGGUGAUCAAAAGUACGUCCGGUACUCCAAAAUUAUACAUGAGCAUCACUUAUGUCAAUCAUACAUAAACAUACAUGAGUAUCACUCAUGUCAAUCAUACAUAAACAUUCAUGAGCAUCACUCAUGUCAACAUUCAUGAACAUCACUCAUGUCAACAUCCAUGAGCAUCACUCAUGUCAAUCAACAUAAACAUUCAUGAGCAUCACUCAUGUCAAUCAGCUUCGAAAGCUUCAUUUACAGAGCUCCAGCUUCAAAAACUUCAUUUACAAAAGCUCCAGCUGAACAACCGCCACUUCGGCCCAUACAUGGAUUGAAUUUGAAGUCUCUAGCCAACAAACUCUAUUGAUUGAAGACUUGAGGGACUACACUAUGUACCAUAUAUUGGGCUUCCGUAACUGGGCCUCAUGAAAAAUACUUGGGGGACUUAGCCCAUUAUUUAUGUACUGAGGAGCGAACCCUUAUUCUAUAAAAGGGACUCCCUCACUUUCAUUAGAGAGCACCCAUUAUUCAUGUAUUGAGGAGCGAACCCUUAUUUUAUAAAAGGGACUCCCUCACUUUCAUUAGAGAGAGACUCUUAGCCCAUCACUUAUGUAUUGAGGAGCGAACCCUUAUUCUAUAAAAGGGACUCCCUCACCUUCAUUAGAGAGCAUCGCCGCCAGCUGAGCAACCACCUCGCAACGAGCAUAACUCUUAACCCAUCACUUAUGUAUUGAGGAGCGAGCCCUUAUUCUAUAAAAGGGACUCCCUUACCAUCAUUAGAGAACAUCGCCGCCUGCUGAGCAACCGCCUCGCCGUGAGCAUCAACUCUAGCCCAUCAUUUAUGUAUUGAGAAGCGAGCCCUUAUUCUAUAAAAGGGAAUUCCUCACCUUCAACACCACAAGCCGAGCCAACCAAGGCAACAUAAGCCACAAGUCGAGCAGCCUCGUAACAUGUGCUACUUCUAGUUGAACAACAUUUCACAUUGAGUACCGCCUCAUAUCGAGUAGCAGUUCUAGACGACCUCUAGUUACUGGCCCACACAUGGACUGAAUUUCAAGUCUCCAGCCAAAAGACUUUCUUGACUGAAGACUUGAGGGACUACUGUUUGUACCAUAUUUAAGGCCUCCAUAUUUAGACCUCGUAUAAAUACUCGGAGGACUCAAAUGUAAUUAUGUAAUAAAUAAAGGGGCAAAUAUGUAAUAAGUGAGGAGCCCUUAUUCUAUAAAAGGACUAAUCACUCUCCUCAUUUAGGGAUGUGAAGGUUUAGGCCAUGGGAAGAGAGAAAAUAGGCUAGAGAGCACACUGCCUCUAACCUUCUUGUAUAUUCACCAUUCAGAGUGAAACAAUAUGAACAUCAGUGUGGACGUAGCCCAAACAUUGGGGUGAACCACGAUACAUCUUGUGUUCUUUACUUUCUUGCAGAUUCACGGUCGGAUUUACGUUGUUCCAAGACCCCUCCGGUUUUGUGCAUCAACACAUAUGAAGUAGCAGCAUUUAUUUGAUUGGACACAAAAUGUGAAGACAUAUUCAUCAUAGAAGUAGGCAUAGUAGGCAUAAUGAAAAGCAUAUUAUACAUGGAUUGAUGAGGCAUACUAGAAAAAGUAGUAUUCAUAGCACUCAUCUAUGAAUUAGAAUUCUUCCCUUUAUUUCUAUAAAAGCAUGUCUUUGCAGUAUGAUUAUUUCUGUCACAAAUUUGACACUUUUCAAAGGUAUCAGAUGUUUCAGUGGACCUAUAAACACAUGCUGCAGGAGAAUGACCUUGCUGAGAACAUAUUUGACAGAUCACAAUAGAGGAAGGCCCACCAUUACUGAAUUAAGAAGGGUUCCCAAGAAUACCAGGAGCAUAAUCAUACACGAUUGGUUUAGAGUUAUAGAACUUUUGACCUUGAUUAUUGUAAUACCUCUGAUUAUUAGAUGUUUUGCCUUUGCCAUUGUACUUAGACUUGUUUCCUCCAUAAUUGCCUUGAUAAUUUCCAGAAUUGCCUCGAUAUCCAUUAUUGUCGUGAACCCCAGAAUUGAAGGUGCCCUGAAAUCCAGAAGAAGAUUCUCCAUUAUUAUUCUGUGAGAAAUAAGGACCGUUAGAUCCCAUAUCUUGGUUCUUGACUACCAUUGCAGACAAGGAUGAAGUGGUAUAAAUAUUCUCAAUAAUUGCUUCCUCUGCCAGUAACUGUGCACGAAAUUCCUUCAAAGAAAUGACAUUUUCUCUACCACGAAUGACACAUCAAAAAGUGUUGUAUUAUGUAGGUAACCCAUUUAAUGCCAAAAUCACAAUAUCUUCAUCAACAAAAGUAACCCCAGCAGCAGCAUGAUAAUAUCUUGCUUCCUUGAUCUGUUGAAGAUAUAUUGUAAUAGAAUUUGUGCCUUUCUUGAUUGUUUGUAAAUUAGACUUCAAUUGGAAAAUGGAAGUCUUGCUCAUAGUAGAAAAUUGUUCCUGAAGUCGAACCAUAAGUCUUUAGCACUAGAACUGCCAAUAGCACAAUAAAUUGCCAUAGAAGAUAAAGUGGCUGUGAUGAGUUACAUCAAAGCACGAUCAUGCAUCUUCAAUACCUUGUAAGCAUUAGACUCAAUUCUGGAUUCAGGGCCAGUAGAAGUAACUCCUGAAUUGUCAAGAAACUGCGAAGGACAAGGAUUUGUGCCAUCCAUAAAAUCCAUAAUGCCAUAACCUUCAAACAUCAACUUCAUCUGAAAAUGCCAUUGAAGAUAAUUUGUAUCAUCCAGCUUGACUGUUACCGACGUUAACACAUAGGAAAUCAACCCAGUAAUCGGUGAUUGCAAAAUUUGCAAUUGAUUUGCAAUAACCAUGUUGAAUCUUUCUUUGAGAAAAAACAUCAAACACCUGGUGUGCAAGAAAAAUAUAUGAUGCGGAGAACCAAGAAAUGAAGAAGAAUCGCCCAUAAAUUCUUGAAAGACAAGAACAAAUAAGAGAAAAAAGAAGAUUGAUGAGCGGAAGCAAAAAGAACCAAGGACCGAAGACCCUUAACAGACAUAAGCGGUUUGGGCGAGUAAUACCAUGUUAACCAUAUUGCAGAGCUUCAAUGGAGAGAUACAGAGAAAAGUUGAGAGAGAAGAGAGAAAGAGAGAGAGCUUGGAAAAGAAGCUACUGAAUGUUAUAUUAGAUUUUUUGUAAUUACAACAGUACACAAUCUUACAUUUUGUAAGAUCUUAGCCUAACUGCCUUAUCUACUUUAUUACAAUCUUAUCUUAUACACUUCAUUAUACCGACUACAACAACAUUGUGUUACUAAUCUCCUUGAUGAAUGACAAGUGGCAUAAUCCUCUUCAUUCAUUAUUUAUACUCUAACAAUAGCUUCGCCUAUGGUUCCACUAUAAAACCAAUUAGCAUUAUGGGGAGUAGCCCAACCUCUUAUAAGCUCAUGCAAGGUCCUUCCUCCCAUCAAUGUGGAAUUCAUUCUCAACAAAAACUCCUACUUCCAUAUAAUUCUGUCAAUACAACUUCUAUACAAUCAGAUGAAACCUCAUAAUCUCCUAAAUUUUGUUCAAGUUAAAGUUAAAAAGUGAGUUAUUCAUGAAUCACCUUCCAAACCCGGCUGUCAUGGUAGAAAGGAUAAAAUUCAUCCUUCUAUUUUUAAUUUGAAAAAUAUUAUAAGAUAGACAUUCACUUUCUUCAACGUAUAUUGAAUCUAAUGAGUUAUGAAAUUCAAUCAAAUCUAAACACCAAACAAAGCCUUAGAGGUUAUGAAAUAGAAUUGAGUUGUUAGAUCUUGGAUAUUGAAUUACUGACCAAGAAUUCCCAACGAGGCCUCAUGUUAUGAAAUAAAAUUUAGUUGUUAGAUCAUAGUUGUUGAAUCAUUGACCAAGAAUAAUGGCUAAAACUCCUAGUGUAUAGUAAACAACGAAGCUACUAACAAAUGUCCUCCAGAGUGGUUAAAAUUGAAAACUUGCUCGGAUUUACAAUAGAACAAAUGAUGUUUUUAAUCUAAACGAUUUACAAUUGGUUGACACAAUAUCGAAGCUUAACAAUUAAGCAACGAGGAAAAUGAAGAGCUAAUUAGAUAGAUAGCUAGUGAGCGAGUGAGGGAUCAGUUAGCUAGAGACCCAUCGAGAGAUUUGGUCCACAAGUUUUUUUUUUUUUUUUUCUUACCUGGUUUUGGACAAAACAUAAAUAAUGAGAGGGAUUCUGAUGUACCCGCAUGUCAACAAGAAGGAAGACGGAAUAGAAACCAAUUAUGCACCAUGCACGAUUGGCCAUUAAUAUCAAGGGACCCCGACCUUAAUUGUGUACCUAACUAGGUGCCAGCAACCGAGAUUUUGGAAGGCGAAAUAUUGUUUGGGGUACAAUUUUUUCUUUUCUUUUCACCAACUGGGAAAACAUCAUACAAGGUUAAUAUUUUGUAAUUACCUGGUUUUACCCAUUCACGACAUAUAUAGUGAAGAUAUUGCACAAUUUUAUACAUUAAUUGUUUCAAUCAAGGGCGAUAUUUUUGUGAACUACCGAUAACUGGCUAUGAAAUAACACUAAAUUGACAGAAAUUAAAUGUUGUUUCUCGUUGUGUUUGUAUUAGAUUUGUCGGUACAAUGAAAUUCACAUGAAAUUGGUAUAAAAUUGACGCCAAAUUGAAGAAAGUUUAGAUUCUAUGGUAAGAUAAAUUGACAAUAUGUGGAGUAAUCCAACUUACUCAUAAGCCAAUGUAAGGUUUCUUCUUCCAUCAAUGUGAGAUUCAUUUUGAACAAACCCCCUCAUGUAUAACGAAUUUUCAAGCCUAAUACGUGGAUAACAUAAAUAGGGUAACGUGGAGCACGUGUGAUCGUUGGGCUUCACGCACGGGACAAUCUUCUCUCAUACCAUAAAGAAAGUUAAGAUUCUAUCAUAAAACCAACUGAUAAUGAAAUCUCUUCUUCCAUCAACGUGAGAUUCGUUUUCAACAAAUGAAUUAAGUAGGAUGAAUGGUAAAGUUACAGAAACUUCGUCCAAUUUGGAACCUAUUAUUUGUACAAUGGAUUUGAUUCCCCUUAGAUGGCAUUUUAACACGAGAGGCGUGAAUUUCGUUUAUGAAACUUAUCUUAGGGCUUUCGCCAAUCAUAUAAUUAAGUACUUUCUCUUUCAAGUGGUGGUAAGUGGCGGAUCAUUUAUGUGAUUAGGCUAAUAAGUUUGAAUUUGGGCUUAAGAGAGCAUCAAGGGACUCAACUGUAAUAAAAAAAUUAGAUCAUGGAACGCACCAAAAGCAUUAAUUUCAUCACACCCACCAACUAACUCCUCCCAACUCCUACCAGACGUACAUGCCUUUUUUCUUCUGUAGUUCAGUUCACUUUAAGUAAUAUGUUUCUCACCAUACUAGCCGACCACGUAUGGGACUUCCUAGCAAGAAGAUAUAUCAAAGAAAAUACACGGUUGGUUAUGUAUAAUUUUGCACUUGUAAGUGGAAUGUCUUGGUUAGGUUUGAUUUGCUUAGAUAACAAAUUUAAAAUCAAAUUGUUAUGAUCAUCCAAUUGUAUGACUUGCCCCAGAUAUCCCUUACAUUUUAAAAUAGAGUGUUUUCUUAUAAAAAAAAGAUCAUUUUUCACUGUAAACAAAUCAUAAUUUGAUUUAUGUUCCGACGAGUUUUCAAUAACUUUAAAAUGUAAGGAGUUCAAAUUAAUAAUUCAUGGAAAUGAUUGCUGUAACAUGUAAUUAAACACGUAAACGUGGCCACAAAAGUUGUUGACCACAAUACCCUUAGUUCAACUAUUCUUUCUCAAUUUUUGUCUAUAUAAGCACCACACCAUAGUGCCUUUAUAACUCACUAGCUACUCGAGUUUUCAAAUCAAGUUCUUUCAUAUCCAUCUUUCAUACACAUAUUUGGUAAUCCACAGCCUUUUUAAGUCAUUAAUUAUGGCUAGCUCUGCAGUGACCAAGCUUGCUUUGGUGGUGGCCUUGUGCAUGGCGGUGAGCGUUGCUCAUGCCAUAACAUGUGGCCAAGUGACCAGCAGCCUUGCGCCAUGCAUUGGCUACGUGAGGAGUGGCGGAGCUGUCCCUCCAGCUUGCUGCAAUGGAAUCAGAACCAUUAACGGCUUGGCCAGGACCACCGCUGACCGCCAGACUGCUUGCAACUGCCUGAAGAAUCUUGCCGGCAGCAUCAGUGGUGUUAACCCUAACAAUGCAGCAGGGCUUCCUGGAAAGUGUGGAGUCAACGUCCCCUACAAGAUCAGCACCUCCACCAACUGCGCCACGUAAGCAUUACAAAACCCUAAUUCCCGUUGAAUGUCAAACCAUUAGAUCUUUGAUCUAAGUUGAACUCCAUAAACCCGAAAAAUAUGCAUACAUCGUUGCUAAUUGUUUUUGUUUUGGCUAAUGCAUCUUCCUCAAGAACAACAAUAUAAUUUAUUGAUUUUUGUGUUUUGUUGUUGUGUGAUUGCAGCGUGAAGUAAGCGAUGGGAGAUCAUUAAUUUCCGGCCGCAGAUAAUGUUUAGUGAGAAUAAAAUGUGCUUCUGCCAUCCGGCCACAAGGGAUUCCUCAUGAGGGAAUCGUUUAAGUUGUUCUAGUACUUCUGUAUCAUCUACUAGGCCAUCAAUAUUAAUUAUAAUACUCGUCCAUGUUGAAUUAAUGAAUAAUAUUUAAGUUUAAGGAAUGUUGUCCUCUUUUGCUAUUCCAUUUUACUUACUUAAAUCCCUCUUCCUCCCAUCAGAAACUAAACAAAAAUGAAACGGAAAGAGAAAAAAGGAAGCAAAAUUAGCAUGAACAACCGCCGGAUUGAAUUUUUCACCAAUAACUCGUUAAUUAUAAGAUGGGUUUAGUUAAAAUAGUUAUGGAAAAGAAAGGAAAGAAAGAUGCAAUAAUAGAACAAUUCUUGUCCUAGUGUACAGUACAAGAAUAGCUUGUAAUCGAGAAAAACUCAUGUAGUAUAUGGGACGGUAAAUAUGAAUCAGUGAACAUCGCAUGAUAUUAUUAUUUCACGAAUUAUUAAUGAAGACUUAUGAUGUAGUUGAGAGUAUUACAUUUUUUGCUCCUCAAAUAGAGUAAAAAUUCAAAAUCUUUAGGUUUUUUUUUUUACUUUGAAAGCCAAUUGAUUAAAAGCUCCUUAUGGUUGUUGAGCCUGCUAUUGUUAUAUAAUAAAAUCUCUAGGUAUUACAUAUAAUGCUUUUAGUUGAGGAAAACGAACUACUUUGGGGUCCUAACCCUGUUGGCACUUUCUUUGUCAAGUGAGCUACUUGGUUACAAAAGUACUGAUACCUAAGCUUCUUUUAGAGCUAGUGUUCAAAAUACGGGUAGAAACAUAGUAUACUACACAAAGCAAAAAUCUUUUCUGGCUCCGGCCGGGUAGACUUAAAACAAGAGCAAGAAUUGCUAAUUUUCAUCUUAAUACUGAUCUUACUUCUAUCUAUAUUAUAAUCUCACUCACCAUAAAAAGUUAAAAAUUUUAAAUGUUAUUUCUCCCUAGAAUCCCUUUCUCCACCCACUAUACUAUUCCUAAUUAACUUCUAAUAUUAUCUAAAGUCUUUUUUAAUUUUCAGAAGAAUGAUUGUCAAUAUGUUUUCAAAACGAACCAGCAUUCUCUUCUUUAGUCGCAGCACCACAACUCGAUUACCCUUGCCGCACCAACACGCCUCAAAACGCCACUCACCCCCGUCAACAACCAAACCUUUGAAACAUGGUAAAUGUUCAGAUCGAAAAAUUUGCUUUCUACACGUCCUGUGCCGAUCGUUCCUCACGGCGAGCAUCUCCUCUCUCUGCUACCUUGUUCUUCGAACGUUUGGCGUCAAACUGGACAGCCAGGGUCUUUUCUCUUGCCUUUUCACAUGUAUUUUUAUUUAAUGACCUCAAAUUCACUAUUUGAAAAUAGUAUUAUUUUCCAAGUUCUACCUAAAAAGAAAACUAAAAAAAAUGAAAAACAGCUAACAAACAAUUUUAAAACAGGUUUCAUUUCUUUUCUAAAUUGAAAAGAACUAAACCUAAAAAUUAAAUGGUUAACAAAUGAGACCUUAGUAUAGUCCAGCCGUUAUUACGUACCUUUUGGUAAGCAUAAUACAAUGAUUUCCAUCAUGAUAAUUGUGGAGCAAAAAAUAAUCAAGAAAAUUAUGAAGGUGACAUGUGGACUUUUGGGUGAAAAGGAUAAAAUUACCCUUGAGGUACACCCGGAUUCCCACUCGCAUGCAACAGAUAAUAACGGCUCAAUCAAAGAAGAGUCAAAAGUGAUCAAAAUGAUAUUUAUUUAAACUCCUCUCAUCACUCAUCAAAUAUUUAUUCAAAAGGUAACUCCCAAUUUUCCUAUUCAAUUUAGGAUUAAUUGCCAAGUUAAUUGCAAAAUAUUAUUUCAUAUAAUAUCUUGCAAUUAUACUCACAAUUUCACCAUAUAUGGCCGGCCCCUAUUCUCCAAAUAGGGCCAGCCACUCUCCUAUAAAUAGUCAUAUUCUCCCACUAAAAAAUUAAGCCAUUUGCUAAUCAUAAACUCCCAAACACAUUCUUUUCAUAAUUCUAACUUUGGUAUCGGAGAUUUUUCGGCCAAAGCCCUCCCCCCAAUUCAUCGUGGACACGUGAGACUUUUGGUCUUAAUCUUAGGUGUUAUUAUUUUGUAGGUGCAUUUUCGUCAAAUGAGAAGACCGCGGAAAUUUGCAUCCACAAAUUGGUGCUUUCAUUGAGAAUCUUAAAUCACAAGCUCGAAGAAGACUCUCGCAUUCAAAGUUUCUCAUUUCUCGUUCAUUUGUAGAUUUUUUGUACGUUCUUAUUCCUAUAUUUUUUUAUAAAGUUACAAUGACUAGAAAUUCGGAAACCACAACGAGUGGAACUUCCUACAUUCAAGGAUUUGGACCAAGUGAUGGAGAUCGUGACAUAGCCUUACCACAACAAUCCAUGAGGCUCAACAUGAUGACGAGUAGAGUGGCACCAUCCCCACAGAGAACCAUCGUGGCCAUGCCAACGGCAGCAGCCACCGUAGCAGCUCACAGUGAAGGCAUCACCUUGCAGUCGCUAGCCCAAGCUCGAGCCACUUGCAGCAGUGAGCCCAGGCCUGUGCCACAAGGGAGCUUAACAUGGCUCAGUGCAAGCAGGCCCAAAUUGCAGCCGCAUUUGACAAAGUAGUAGCCCAAGACCAGCAGGCCCGAGUCACGCAAAGGGGAGCCUAGUGCCCACGCGCUUCACUGCCCCAUGCUAUUUUUGUGGCCCUCAAAGCAAUCCAAGACCAGUUCAAUCAUCUUGGCUUCAAAUUGUUAGGCCGACAAUUGAACCGGGGGUAUUUUCGCCCUAUUUUUCUGCAGAUUUAGCAUAUCCUCACUCAAAUGGCAAACAACACUUGUCUCGACAAGUCAUAAAGUUGACAAGCACCCUCGCGUAACAGACAACCUUGGUAAAUCAGCUUUUGCAGUGUCCCGAAGUAGGACAUGAGCAGACAACGAACCUCUCUAGCAGCGUCCCGGCAAGCAAUCACUCAAUUAGUCACAAACCGAUCAUUCUAGCAGUGUACACUAUCGACUGGGCCACCGAGAUAGCGUAUACUCUCAGUUAGGCCCACAGACAAACAUACAUUAAAUGUUAGGGCCACACUUCGAUAAUCAACAUGAGCAACCUUCUAGGCGAAGUGUUCAUUCGUGGCUAAGCCCGCAAGGAGCAUCCUCUACCUCACAUUGGAGUAGGCAGCACAACGGACGGAGAGAAACAGACACUCAAUUUGGUAAAGUUGAAUCGGCAUCCUGCGAGAAAUUCGCUUGCCUGCUAGGAACGUACCAUAUGCACCGCAGCCAUCUCAUAAACGAGCUGAACACAUGGAAGAGCAGCUUAGACCAGCAGGUCACGACCGAGGGCAGCUGAGAGCUCCGCUACCCCCAAUAAAUGCAAAUUCAAGAAGAAGUAGAGAGACACUUGACCUAGCGAUUGGGCGAUUUCCAACGCAACGAGGUCACUGACGAGGCACUAUAACGAGACACGACCAACAUAAAUAGGUCAUCCUUCACGGACGACAUCAAGCAGGCAUAGCCUCAAUUCAAAUUUAGCAUGCCACAUUUCACAUCCUUCAAAGGGGAUGAAGACCCGAAGAGACACUUGAAGCACUACCAAAGUAUAAUGAUCCUUUAUCGGAACAACGACGAUCUCAUGUGUAAGAUAUUCGCCACCACUUUACAGGGCAAGGUGCAAGAUUGGUUCCGUACCCUGCCACCACAAUCCAUUCGGAGUUUCAAUAAGCUCUUUUGGUUUACACCAAGGAGUAUUCAUUCUACUGCUCGAUUAAAAAGAAGUCCAACCAUUUGUUCAAUGUCAAGAAGAACCCAAAUGAGUCUUUUCGCAACUAUGUGAAGAGGUUUAAAGUAGAGAAGGCAAAGAUAGUCAAAUGUGACGACUCGAUAGCUAGUGCAGCCUUCUAAAAAAGACUCCCAGUAGACCAUCUAUUGUUUGGAGAAUUGAUUAUGAAAGAAGAUCUAACUAUGACAGACUCUUUCGCUCUGGCAGAGAAACAUGCACUUUGGGACGAAGCACAUCAGGCAGACAAGGCACUCGAGCAGCCUCGAAAAGAAUCGGCAAUAACUCAAAAGAAAGAGGACGGAAAGUAGUACAACAACAUAAAUAGGUAGAAGGCCGAGCAUAUGGACCGAUCCUCGACUAAAGAAAGCCUGACGCCCAAGAACUAUUAUAAGUUCUUGAUCCUGAUCCAGUAAAUCCUCCGCGACAUCAAAAGCGAACCAUGGUUCAAGCUGUCGAAACAAUCAAAGCGAGAUACCUCCAAGUUGGACCACACCAAGUACUGCGCAUUCCAUCGAGGUUCCAGUCACACAACUGACGACUGCUACACUUGGAAGAACUACCUAGAGAAGUUGGUAAAAGAAAGCAAGGUGGAAAAAUACUUAGACAAGCCAGCUGCGUAUCUUAGAAGAAACGCAGAUGCUGACGAAGAGCCGAUAACCAAGACAAUUCGGAUCAAUGACAUCUCCACUGAAUUCGAGCACUUGGGGGCCACCAACAGCUCCAAGAAAAAGGAAGAUCCAGCAGGCUCUACUAGUCUCAUAGGUCCAGGCAGUCAACACCCAACCUAGACCCAUCGUUGGCUUCAUCGAGCAAGAUGCCGAAGACAUCGACUUCCCACAUAACGACGCACUAGUGGUAUCUGUCCAACUAGCCCAUGCCAUAGUCGAUAAAAUGAUGGUUGACAAAGAAAAUGCAAUUAACCUACUUCAGCUCUCAGUGAUUCAGAAGAUGGGCUUGGAAAACACAAUCAUACGCCGAGCAGAGGUACUUACUAGAUUCAACGGACACACCUUAACUGCCAUCGACAACAUUACACUUAACGUGAGAAUACCGCCAGCUGUUUCAAAGUAGAUGUUCACGAUAGCAAGUGACAUGUCUCCCUACAAUAGGAUUCUAGGGCGACCUUGGCUGAUAAAGCUUGAUGCCGUAACCUUCAUCAAAUAUCAAAAAAUUCAAUUCCACAUUCCAGGAUGAGGAAUCAGAAAAAUCAAGUCUAACCAAGCCACAUCUUGACAAUGCACUGUGCACAUACUGAAUGAGUAAAAAAAAAAAAGACAUUUACCCUAGUAGAGGCUAUCGAGGUCCAAAGGGAUGACGAAGCUACCAAAUAGUAAUUACAACAGACGGAUCAAGAAGAUGGUGUCCAAAUCAAUAAACCAGUAGACAAGACGGGAUAGAAACCUGAAGAGGAUGCCGAACACAUCAUUCUUGGUCCCCAGCAGCUAGAGAAGACUGCUAGAAUUGACUUACGUCUAAGCCCUAAAGAAAAUGAGAAACUUACGACUUUCCUUAAGGAAAAUUGUGACGUCUUCACAUGGUCACAUUUUGCACAAGUUGCACGUUGACCCCACUACAAAACUGGUAAUCCAAAAAAGAAGACAUUUCACACCUGAAUGAGUGGUGAUCAUCGAAGCUGAAAUCGACAAGCUAUUGAAUGACAGAUUCAUAGAAGAGGUAGCACACUCAGCAUGGCUUACCAACAGCAUGCUAGUAAUGAAGAAAUAGAAGGGUAAAUAGAUAGUUUAUGUAGACUACACCGACCUCAACAAAACAUGCAUGAAGAAUCCUUAUCAAGUUCAUCGAAUCGAUAUACUAGUAUAUUCAACUUCCGGGAACCAGCUGUUUAGUUUCUUGGACGCAUACUCCGACUAAAACCAAAUAGCCAUGCACGAGGCCGAUAAGGAAAAAACAACGUUCGUGAUCGAACGAGGCACCUACUGCUACAAGGUCAUGCCUUUUGACCUCAAGUACGUGGAAGCCACUUACCAACAAUUGGUAAACAUGAUGUUUAAGAAGCAAAUUAGAGUAACCAUGGAGGUUUACGUCGACGACGGUGAAAGGCAAGUAGCGACCAGACUACAUCGACAACUUGGCGGAAACUUUUGACAUCCUUAAAAAGUACAAGAUGAAGCUCAAUCCUGCCAAAUGCACAUUUUGAGUAUCUUCAGGCGAAUUCUUAAAGUACCUAGUGACCCAAAGAGGAAUCAAAGCACAUCCCAAGCAGAUCCAAGCAAUCCUAGAAAUGAAAUCUCAAACUUCCUUGAAGGAGAUCCAAAGUUUGACCGGAUGAACAGCCACGCUUAACUGCUUCCUCUCGUAGUCGCGGAAGACUUAUACAUCUACUUGACAAUCUCAGAAAUUGCAGUAAGCUCUGCCCUUAUACGAGAAAAGUUGAGGGCCCAACUGCCGGUAUUCUACACUUCUAAAGCUCUUCUCGAUAUGGAAACCAGAUAUCCGAGAAUCGAGAAAUUAAUUUUGGCACUAGUUGUUGCAGCUCGGAAACUCAGACUAUAUUUUCAAGCUCAUACAGUCAUCAUCAUGACUUAGUAUCCUUUACGAUCAAUCUUACAUGGUCCAAAUACUUCUCAACGAGUAAUGAAAUGGGCGUUGGAACUUGGCUAAUACGGCUUAGUUUUCCAACCCUGAACGACGAUAAAGGCCUAAGCCUUGGCGGACUUCAUAGCAAAGUUCAUGCCUAGCUUAGGCAACUCCAACAGAACGACCUAACGACGCCCCGGAAGCAUUUGAGCAUGCCUUAGCCAAGCCUGCUUCACCCGAUUGAGACUUUUAGCAUUUGCACGUUGACAAUGAAUCAAACUACAAGGGCUCAGGAGCAGGUGUGGUUCUUGUCACCUUAGACAGUUCGAUGCUCGAGCAGGUGAUCACUCUAGGCUUCAAAGCAUCCAACAACGAAGUAAAGUACUAAGCCCUAAUUGUAGGCUUCCGAAUGGCAAAAGAUUUGGGGGUGUAAAAGCUUGUAAUUCAUUAUGAUUCUCAGCUAAUCACCAGCCAGACUAUUAGAGAGUACACGAUAAAACAUCCAAAGAUGGCGCAAUACCUAAAAAAGGUACGAAAGCAACUUGAAGCAUUUCAGACUUCCCCCCUCACUCAAGUUUCACGGGAAAACAACACUUACGCGGACGCACUAGCCAGCCUAGGCUUCGCCCUUGACCAUCAACUCAAAUGCUCUAUUGGACUAUCUAGACAAGCCAAACAUAGAGACGGAGCCAGUAAUCGAGGUGUCACAGGUUAGUACAACUCCAAACUGGAAAGAUUCCAUUAUAGAUUACCUGGUCAAUAAAACAAUUCCCAUGGAAAGAUUGGAGUCUAAAAAGCUCCAAAUAAAGGUAGCACACUACUACAUAUGGAACGGCAUUCUCGUUCGAAGAUCCUAUACUGGACCAUAUCUCUGUUGCCUAUUGUCUCCCGACGACCUAGAGGUUUUAAGUUCAAUCUAUGAGGGCAUUUUUGGAAAUCACUUCGGAGGUCAAUCCUUAGCAAAGAAGGCUCUUAACACAAGUUACUACUGGCCUACUAUGCAUUAAGACAUUAAGGAGUUAGUACUAAAGUGCGACCGCUACCAACGCUACAAGCCAGUACCAGCAUUGCCUGCCAGAGCCUAUGAUAACCACAACUUAGACGGACAUAGAGCAUUUCAUAUGAAGGAACAUCAUCUGUCAAUUUUGCAACCCUUAAUCCAUCUAGUGCGAGAGGGUAAACCAAUUCCCUGACACCCAUAUGGGUUUACUCUCCAAUGCGAAAGGAUAAACUAUACACUCUGAAUAUCCAAACGUGGAUGAGUCAAGUUGCCCUGGUGUAAUUAGAUGCACGAUGGCUUAGGCCGGGAUUCCCAGAAGUAGCCACAAUGGUUUUUUUCAAGGCUUAGCUAACUGAAGGAUUUUGGGUCUUUUAGCAUAAUCCGUGGGGAACUGGGCCUUAUAGAUGGAUGAGGCACAUUACGCAGUAUGCCCUAUAGACGGUUGUCCUGGAACCCUAAAACUGCUACAGAGUGCACAAAGGUAGCCUAUGGUUUCCAGAAGACUACCUACAGCUUGCAUUUCAGGCAGUAAGUCGCACUAAACUUAUACAAUCACAUAUUUUUGUGAAAGGUUAAACAGUUAGUGUGCAUAUACGAAACUUUAUCCACUGUCGACAUGCUAUGCAGUCGAUAAGCUUCACCUAUGACAAGCACAGAAUGAUCGUUUAGAUAUACACUAAUUCCUAAAUUGUUGUGAUACUUGUUACGUAACCUACGGAAUUGGUUACAUAAAGAGCAAGAAGUUCUCUUGGACCUUUGCUUAUGAAAUUCCAUACAACCACGUACUUUUAAUGCGAAAGGAUAGCGAAUAUUAUGACCAAAAAAUAUUUAUUAUGUUAUGAUGCAGGCCACACAACUCAAAGGAUUGAAGAAAGCCAAGGUUAAUAGUCAAGUGCUCACGCAAACUCGUUUGCUUUUGUAAGUAAGGCAUCCGACUGCCGACCCCAUGGCUAACAACUAUGCAAAAGUUAUAUACCAACACCUACAGCUACAUAGGCUACACGGGCUUGUCUAUUUAUAGAAAAGCAUCAUGCUUACUACUGGUCUAAAGUCAAAGGUUGGGCAUAAACAAAAGAAGCGAAGAUGAAGAAAAACGAAGGAAGCAAGUUUAUUAAAUUUUCUAGCAAAAUUGAGAAACAAAUAGCAAAGGCCAAAGGAGUUCAAGCAAAGCAAAAAGCUACAAGGAAAACAAAGAAAAUCCUAAAGGCUACCUAGAAGAUUAUUCUUCAGCAACUUGGACACCCCACAACUACUCGUUAGCCAUACCUUCAGCAGCUGCGACGCUCUCAAUAGCGGCAUCAUCCAGCGUUUCACCCUCGGCUGUCUCAACUUGGGCACCAACUUCUCUGACUACUUCACCAAUGGAAGCCUCAAAAGUAAAGGCAAUCAAGUUUUCUAGAAAAAUAGAGAAGGUCUCAAAAUCUUUCCCAGCAAACUUAAAGUCAGACGGCCUACCAAAGAGAUAAUCUAUAUAAUCGAGCUUGUAGAAAUCAACCUAACUCUGUACAAGCGAAUCCUGUUAGCAAUCAAACUAGCUACCUUUGGCAUAACAAGUGUCACCGACUCAAAUCUAGCAGCCUCAUCUUUCUUCCCCUUUGAAGAAGUCAAGUCAAUCAUAAGCCUAUCGGCAGUAGGCGGACCUUCAUGAGUAGCGGAGGAAGUCUUCGGCUUUUUCUCAGCCAGCAUCUCUUGAGCAGGCGGGGAAGAUCUUUUAUUUCCACCUUCAUUCACAGCAGGCUCCACGACAGUGAUCAGACAAGCUAAUGCCUCCACCUUGAUCUGCUUUAUCUCCUCUAUCGGGGACAGCCCACCUUUCUCCUAACGAAUAGGACUAAGCAACCAACGCCAUUCACGAUACUUAGCAGGGAUACCCAAAGUAAAGGAAGAUCUUUAUAACUGUUGACAUUUCCUACGAGCAGCCUAACAGGUGUGGGGGCAUUUGUGGAUCUAAAAAUAAUCAAGAAAAUUAUGGAGGUGACACGUGGACUUUUGGGUAAAAAUGAUAAGAUUACCUUCAAGGAACACUGAGAUUCCCACUCGCAUGCAACGGACAAUAACGGCUCAAUCAAGAAAGAGUCAAAGGUGAUCAAAAUGGUAUUUACUCAAAUCCCUCUCAUCACUCCUCAUCAAAGCUUUAUUCAAAAGGUAACUCACAAUUUUCCUAUUCAAUUUAGGAUUAAUUGCCAAGUUAAUUGCAAGAUAUUGUUUCACAUAAUAUCUUGCAAUUAUACUUACAAUUUCACUAUAUAUGGUCGGCCCCUAUUCUAUAAAUAGGGUCAGCCACUCCUUUAUAAAUAAUCAUAUUCUUCUACUAAAAAGCUAAGUCAUUUGCUACCCACAAACUCCCAAACACAUUCUUUGACAUCGGAGAUUCUUUGGCCAAAGCCCCCCCCUCCAAAUUCAUCAUGAGCGCGUGAGACUUUUGGCCUUAAUCUUAGGUGUUAUUAUUUUGCAGGUGCAUUUUUGUCAAAGAAAAAGAUGGCGGACAUUUGCAUCCACAAUAAUGCUUUUCAUGUCCUUCCCCAAAUUAUAACGUCCUUCCCCAAAUUAUAAUGUCCAUCCCCAAAUUUGUACGAGGAAUUUGGUUCUCCUUUGAUGGCAUUUUACACGAGAGGCGUGAAUUUCGUUUUAUGAAACUUAUCUUAGGUUCGCCAAUAAUAUAAUUUUGUACUUUCUCAUUCACGUAGGUGGUAAGUGGCGGAUCAUUUAUGUAAUUAGGCUAAUAAGCUUGAAUCUGUGCUUAAGAGCAUUUAAGGGACUCAGCUGCAAUUACAAAAUUAGAGCAUGGUACGUACCAAAAGCAUUAAUUUCAUCACAGCCACCAACUAACUCCAUCCCAACUCCUACCAGACGUACAUGCAUGCCUUUUUUCUUCUGUAGUUCAGUUCACAUAAAGUAUAUGUUUCUCACUAUACUAGCCCACCACACAUGAGACUUAGUAGAAAGAAGAUUUAUCAAAUAAAAUACAUGGUUGCUUAUGUAUAAUUUUUCACUUGUAAGUGGAAUGUCUUGACUAGGUUCGAAUUUCUUAGAUAAUGAGUUUAAAAUCAAAUUACUAUGACCACCCAUUGUAUGACUAGCCCCAAAUAUCCCCUACGUUGUAAAAUAGAGUAUUGUUGCAUAAAAAAGAAGUCAUUUUUCAUUGUAUACAAAUCAUAAUUUGAUAUAUGUUCCGACGAGUGUUCAAUAACUUUAAAAUGUAAGGAGUUCGAAUUAAUAAUUCAUUAUGCUGAUUUAUGUAACAAGUAAUUAAACACGUAAACGUGGCCACAAAAGUUGUUGACAACUAUACCCUUAGUUCAACUAUUCUUUCUUAAUUUUUCUCUAUACAAGCACCACACCAUAGUGCCUUUAUAACUCACUAGCUACUCGAGUUUUCAAAUCAAGUUCUUUCAUAUCCAUUUUUCAUACACAUAUUUGGUAAUCCACAGCCUCUUUAAGUCAUUAAUUAUGGCUAGCUCUGCAGUGACCAAGCUUUCUUUGGUGGUGGCCUUGUGCAUGUCGGUGAGCGUUGUUCAUGCCAUGACAUGUGGACAAGUGACUAGCAACCUUGGGCCAUGCAUUAACUACGUGAGGCGUGGCGGAGCUGUCCCUCCAGCUUGCUGCAAUGGAAUCAGAACCAUUAACGGCUUGGCCAGGACCACCGCUGAUCGCCAGACUACCUGCAACUGCCUGAAGAAUCUUGCCGGUAGCAUCAGUGGUGUUAACCCUAACAAUGCAGCAGCACUUCCUGUAAAGUGUGGAGUCAACGUCCCCUUCAAGAUCAGCACCUCCACCAACUGCGCCACGUAAGCAUCACAAAACCCUAAUUCCCGUUGAAUGUCAAACCAUUAGAUCUUUGAACUAAGUUGAACUCCAUAACCCCGAAAAAAAUGCAUACAUCGUUGCUAAUUGUUUUUGUUUUGGCUAAUGCAUCUUCCUCAAGAACAACAAUCAACAGUAUAUUUUAUUGAUAUAUAUGGGAGAUUAUCAAUUUCCGGCCGCAGAUAACAUUUAGUGAAAAUAAAAUGUGCUUGUGCGGUCCGGCCACAUGGGAUUCCUCAU
rnacentral:lncRNA from 1 species